GACGAACGCUGGCGGCGUGCUUAACACAUGCAAGUCGAACGGAAAGGCCCUGCUUUUGUGGGGUGCUCGAGUGGCGAACGGGUGAGUAACACGUGAGUAACCUGCCCUUGACUUUGGGAUAACUUCAGGAAACUGGGGCUCAUACAGGAUAGGAGCUCCUGCUCCAUGGUGGGGGUUGGAAAGUUUCGGCGGUUGGGGAUGGACUCGCGGCUUAUCAGCUUGUUGGUGGGGUAGUGGCUGACCAAGGCUUUGACGGGUAGCCGGCCUGAGAGGGUGACCGGCGACAUUGGGACUGAGAGACGGCCCAGACGCCUACGGGAGGCAGCGGUGGGGAAUAUUGCACAAUGGGCGGGAGCCUGAUGCAGCAACGCCGCGUGCGUGAUGACGUCCUUCGGGGUGUAAACCGCUUUCGCCUGUGACGAAGCGUGAGUGACGGUAAUGGGUAAAGAAGCACCGGCUAACUACGUG
rnacentral:rRNA from 1 species